GAUGAACGCUGGCGGCGUGCUUAACACAUGCAAGUCGAACGGAAAGGCCAGUGCUUGCACUGGUACUCGAGUGGCGAACGGGUGAGUAACACGUGGGUGAUCUGCCCUGCACUUCGGGAUAAGCCUGGGAAACUGGGUCUAAUACCGGAUAGGACAAUGGUUUGGAUGCCGUUGUGGAAAGUUUUUUCGGUGUGGGAUGAGCUCGCGGCCUAUCAGCUUGUUGGUGGGGUAAUGGCCUACCAAGGCGUCGACGGGUAGCCGGCCUGAGAGGGUGUACGGCCACAUUGGGACUGAGAUACGGCCCAGACUCCUACGGGAGGCAGCAGUGGGGGAUAUUGCACAAUGGGCGCAAGCCUGAUGCAGCGACGCCGCGUGGGGGAUGACGGCCUUCGGGUUGUAAACUCCUUUCGCUAGGGACGAAGCGUAUUUGUGACGGUACCUGGAGAAGAAGCACCGGCUAACUACGUG
rnacentral:rRNA from 1 species